rnacentral:pre_miRNA from 1 species
UGUAUUCAACUGUAUUCAACUGUAUUCACGGUGUGAAAUAGGGGAUUCUACUGUAAAUGGAAAGUGAAUCAAUUAACAUAAUAGACUCCU